ACAACAACAUUCGGACCGUCGGUCUACCGAGCAAUAUCACCCGCUCGGUGGAAGAUCUUCCCUUUGUCGUAUAUU
rnacentral:pre_miRNA from 1 species